CUAUCAUUUUACCCUGAUGGGCAAAGUAUUGCACAGAGGAAACAUCAGUCAAACCCCUUAAAUUAGAGAUCAAUGACUAAAAAAAUCCUUUCAUGCAAGUUUUAUUAGCCAGUUUGCAAUUACUGUUGACUUAUAUUUUUGUACAUGUAAUAUUAAAUGUCUGCAAGAAUAAAUAACUACGUAGUUUUAUUUUUCAUGUAAGAAAUUGUAGUACAUAUUGCAUAUGUUUAUAAUGUAACAGUUUUGUAAUGGUUUAUAUUUUUAUUACAAGUAUGAAAAGCAACCAUUUCUUUUACCAAGGCGUACAUGUGUAUUAAACUGCCUGCUAUAAGAUGCUUAUCUUGGCUUAACCUAUUUUUAUUUACCAAUAGGCAAUAGCAUCAAGUAUUCAAUGAGCUACUGUAUAUAGAGAAAUAUUAUUUUUACAAAAGUGUAGGAUGUUAUGUCCAUGUCUUUAUCAUAAACUCAGUAAAAUAUCAUCUAAAUCAAUAAGCUAAUGGGAAGUAUUAAGUCAGUUCAGAACAUAACAAAGAGGAUCAGAAUAACAAUUUCUUCAUUUUAGCUAGAGAUCCUCUCUGCAAAAAAAAAAAAAUGCUCCGACUUGCAAACCGAUUUUGCCCUCUAAAUGCAAAAUUACUUUUCCCUCUAAUUUCCAAAUUAAUAUGAUAAGUAUUAAGGCUUUAAAGUAAAAAUUGUUUUGUUUUUGUGUUUUCCUAGGAAGAGGAACUUGAUGAAUUCAGUAUUUUAAAAAUUUCAUGUAGGUUACAUGGAGGUGAUGCAAGUUAGAAACAACCAUAAUUGUGAAUAAUAUUGUAUGCCUUAUUAGUUAAUUAAGAUCAAUCCAUUUAGAGUUAUUUAAUGCUUUUAUCUAAAUUACGCACAUUUUAAAAAAUAAUCAAUUUUUUUCUUCUUUUGUGUAUCAGAGUAAAAUUUGUAAAAAUCAAAGACUGCUAAAUUUGGGUGUGCCUUGAAGGAGAAAACUUCAAAAUAAAGAUGUUUUUUUUUAAUGUUGUGAAUUAGCAUUGGUAAAGAAUGUUAAUUAUAAAUAGAAUUUCCUUGUCAUUGAAUAAAUAUUUACUCCCUCAUAUUUGACAAAGAAUAAAAGAAAAAAAAUCAUUUUUAGUUAUUUUAUACCUGUAUUAUGUAAGAUUGCCCAUGAUAUAGGAACUGGGUUUGUUAAACAAACUUUGUACAGUUAUCACUGAUAACUGUACGGAAAACAUAAUAGAGCAAGAAACAUAUGCACCUUUGUAAUAAGCUUGCACAGAUAUAUAUGUAUAAAGUUUAGCUACUGUGUAUAUAUAGGGAUUAGCAGAAAAUACAACCAAUGGUAGACUCCUGACCCUUAGAACAUCCACUUAAUGGUAUGUGUCCCACAUGAAAUCUAUCACCCCCAAAUAUAUAAAUGAAUGAUAUUCUUAUUUUGAACCAUAUGGGGUUUUUUAAGUCA